UCUGUCUCUCUCGCCGCCCCCUUUAUCCCCUGACUGUGUCUCCCGCUCUCUCUCUUCAUCCUCUCCUAUAGGAACAAAAUCUAGUUCCCAAUGCACACAUCAAUGGUGAAAUAGGCACCUAAAUAUCUUUUGACUCUCUCUCUCUCCUCCCACUUCGCCAUCUCCAAUUCUCCAUUGUUCAAGCCGAAGUCAUCAUCUUCGUCUCUUUAUACUGUACCAACAAUAUCUUAACUCUGUACACUGUUCAUCUCCAAAGUCGCCCGCCCCAUUUGCAUUAUGCGACUUCAAAGAGUACACACUAAUAUACUAUUGCCAUGACCAUACCCGUUCAAGGUGAGGAUUCCGUUAAUAUAAAGAGGCAACAAUUGGCGAGCGUUCGAGUGCUUGUUUUAUCAAUUGGGACUCCAUUCAUGAGGAGCAGCAGAAAGGAAGCCAAGCAAUGCUAAAUCAAGCAACAUAUUGGAUAUACUCUAGGAGUUAACUAGAGAAAAUAGUCACUUAUUCUCAAGGAAAUCAUAGCUAUUGUUUUUGAGUAGUUAAUAACGUGAUAUUACUUUUGAUUGUUUUUCUUUCACAAAGAAAAUUUAUCGUGAUAGCAUUUAUGUGUAGCUUUCUACUUUACAUAUGUUUACAGUUCCUAGUAGUGAUGUGCUUUCUUUCAUUUGGGUAUAACCUUCACCUAUACUUUGUGUAUUUUAGGGGAUUUGCGUGAUAAUGUAUAUACAUAAUGUUAUGCA